GGAUUCCCCUAGUAACUGCGAGUGAAGCGGGAAAAGCUCAAAUUUAAAAUCUGGUAGUCUAUGGCUGCCCGAGUUGUAAUCUAGAGAAGUGUUAUCCGCGUUGGACCGUGUACAAGUCUCCUGGAAUGGAGCGUCAUAGAGGGUGAGAAUCCCGUCUUUGACACGGACUACCAGUGCUUUGUGAUGCGCUCUCAAAGAGUCGAGUUGUUUGGGAAUGCAGCUCAAAAUGGGUGGUAAAUUCCAUCUAAAGCUAAAUAUUGGCGAGAGACCGAUAGCGAACAAGUACCGUGAGGGAAAGAUGAAAAGAACUUUGGAAAGAGAGUUAAACAGUACGUGAAAUUGCUGAAAGGGAAACGCUUGAAGUCAGUCGCGUUGUCUGGGGAUCAACCUUGCUUUUGCUGGGUGUACUUUCCAGUUGACGGGUCAGCAUCAAUUUUGAUCGUUGGAUAAAGUGUAGGGAAAUGUGGCAUCUUCGGGUGUGUUAUAGUCCCUGCUCGCAUACAACGGUUGGGAUUGAGGAACUCAGUACGCCGCAAGGCCGGGAAUUUAUUCCACGUUCGUACUUAGGAUGCUGGCAUAAUGGCUUUAAUCGACCC
rnacentral:sRNA from 1 species